CAGGGUGUGGGGAAGUCUGGCUAACCCGCGUGCCUUGGGAGCACGAGAUCACUGGUUCAAAUCCAGUCACCCUGA
rnacentral:tRNA from 1 species